rnacentral:tRNA from 2 species
CCUUCCGUAGUGUAGUUGGUUCAUCACGUUCGACUGUAACUGGUAACAUUUCCAAUCGAAAAGGUCACCGGCUCGACUCCGGUCGGAAGGA